rnacentral:rRNA from 1 species
UCAUAUGCUUGUCUCAAAGAUUAAGCCAUGCAUGUCUAAGUACAUACCAUUUUUAAGGUGAAACCGCGAAUAGCUCAUUAAAUCAGUUACGGUUCAUUGGAUAUUAAACUUUACAUGGAUAACUGUGGUAAUUCUAGAGCUAAUACAUGCAUUAUAGCUUUUUUCUUAUGAAAAAAGUGCAUUUAUUAGACCAAGACCAAUGAUUGUGCAUAUUAAAAAUAUGUAUAAUCUUAAAAUAUGGUGACUCUGAAUAACUGAGCUAAUCGCAUGGCCUAUGAGCCGGCGAUGUAUCCUUCAAGCGUCUGCCUUAUCAACUUUCGAUGGUAGGUUAUGCGCCUACCAUGGUUGUAACGGGUGACGGGGAAUCAGGGUUCGAUUCCGGAGAGGGAGCCUGAGAAACGGCUACCACAUCCAAGGAAGGCAGCAGGCACGCAAAUUACCCACUCCCAGCACGGGGAGGUAGUGACGAAAAAUAACAAUACGGGACUCAAUCGAGUUUCCGUAAUUGGAAUGAGUACAAUAUAAAUCCUUUAACGAGUAUCUAUUGGAGGGCAAGUCUGGUGCCAGCAGCCGCGGUAAUUCCAGCUCCAAUAGCGUAUAUUAAAGUUGUUGCGGUUAAAAAGCUCGUAGUUGUAUCUCAGCUCAUGUUAAACAGUCCGUCGAUUAUAACCUUGACUUAUGUAAGGAUUAUUAUAGUUGAGGAAUAAACCUGUUUGACUGAGCAUAACCGAUUUGUUUAUUGAUGCUCUUUACCGAGUGUCAUUAACGAUCGGUAUCUUUACUUUGAAAAAAUUAGAGUGCUCAAAGCAGGCGCUUAAAGCCUGAAUAUUCUUGCAUGGAAUAAUGGAAUAGGACCUAGGUUCUAUUCUGUUGGUCUUUUUUGAACCUAAGGUAAUGAUUAAGAGGGACAGACGGGGGCAUUCGUAUUGCGGCGCUAGAGGUGAAAUUCUUGGACCGUCGCAAGACGAACUACAGCGAAAGCAUUUGCCAAGAAUGUUUUCAUUAAUCAAGAACGAAAGUUAGAGGUUCGAAGGCGAUCAGAUACCGCCCUAGUUCUAACCAUAAACGAUGCCAACCAGCGAUCAGCCUGAGUCUACUUUUUAUGACUCGGCUGGAAGCUUCCGGGAAACCAAAGUUUUUGGGUUCCGGGGGAAGUAUGGUUGCAAAGCUGAAACUUAAAGGAAUUGACGGAAGGGCACCACCAGGAGUGGAGCCUGCGGCUUAAUUUGACUCAACACGGGAAAACUCACCCGGCCCGGACACUGAGAGGAUUGACAGAUUGAGAGCUCUUUCUUGAUUCAGUGGGUGGUGGUGCAUGGCCGUUCUUAGUUGGUGGAGUGAUUUGUCAGGUUAAUUCCGAUAACGAACGAGACUCUAGCCUACUAAAUAGACUUAACAUCUCAUUAUCUUUCAUUAUCUGCAAUCACUUUUUUUCAAAUUUGAUUGUAUGAUAUGAUUGAGCGCGAUGGAAGAACUUCUUAGAGGGACAGGUGGCGUUUAUGCAGCCACACGAGACAGAGCAAUAACAGGUCUGUGAUGCCCUUAGAUGUCCGGGGCCGCACGCGCGCUACAAUGAAGGCGACAACAUGCGUAAUUUUCCCUCUCUGAGAAGAGUGGGUAACCAUAUGAAAAUCCUUCGUAAUAGGGACUGGGCAUUGUAAUUAUUGCCCACGAACGAGGAAUUCCCAGUAAGCGUGAGUCAUAAGCUUGCGUUGAUUACGUCCCUGCCCUUUGUACACACCGCCCGUCGCUACUACCGAUUGAAUGAUUUAGUGAAGUCCUCAGACUGGCUUGUUCGACUACUUGAUUGUGGUCGGGCUAUGCUGGAAAGAUGCCCAAACUUGAUCAUUUAGAGGAAGUAAAAGUCGUAACAAGGUUUUCGU